GCGAGUGUGCCGAAAUGGUAGCCGGGUGAAUCUUAGGAAUUCAUGAUUUUAUCGUAAGAGUUCAAGUCUCUUUACUCGUA
rnacentral:tRNA from 1 species